rnacentral:rRNA from 1 species
GAUGAACGCUGGCGGCGUGCCUAACACAUGCAAGUCGAGCGAUUCUCUUCGGAGAAGAGCGGCGGACGGGUGAGUAACGCGUGGGUAACCUGCCCUGUACACACGGAUAACAUACCGAAAGGUAUGCUAAUACGAGAUAAUAUGCUUUUAUCGCAUGGUAGAAGUAUCAAAGCUCCGGCGGUACAGGAUGGACCCGCGUCUGAUUAGCUAGUUGGAAAGGUAACGGCUUACCAAGGCGACGAUCAGUAGCCGACCUGAGAGGGUGAUCGGCCAAAUUGGAACUGAAACACGGUCCAAACUCCUACGGGAGGCAGCAGUGGGGAAUAUUGCACAAUGGGCGAAAGCCUGAUGCAGCAACGCCGCGUGAGCGAUGAAGGCCUUCGGGUCGUAAAGCUCUGUCCUCAAGGGAGAUAAUGACGGUACUUGAGGAGGAAGCCCCGGCUAACUACGUGCCAGCCGCCGCCGUAA